UCUCCGUUGGUGAACCAGCGGAGGGAUCAUUACCGAGUUUACAACUCCCAAACCCUUAUGUGAACCGUACCUAUCGUUGCUUCGGCGGGAACGCCCCGGCGCCCUGCGCCCGGAUCCAGGCGCCCGCCGGAGACCCCAAACUCUUGAUUUUACAGCGUCUCUUCUGAGUGGAUUAUACAAAUGAAUCAAAACUUUCAACAACGGAUCUCUUGGUUCUG
rnacentral:misc_RNA from 1 species